GAAACUCGAUGGAUCACAGCACAAGGGGUGGCGGUGAUUGUUUGUGGUCAUAGUGUGUUGUAAGUUGUAACAGAGGAGUAAGAGUAACAUUGGUUGUCGGCAAUAAUGGAAGCUUGGAAGGAGUAUGUCGGCGGCGGUCGUUGGUUUCGGGGUGUUGGAUUAUGACGGCUAAGACAUACCAACGUACGUCCUUGAGUUUAAUUUGCGGAGACUCAAUUAAGGUCAUGGUCUCACACGGUUUUUGGUCUUUGAUGUAUGCAUGCCUGUGUUUUCUUAUUUUCUUAUUUUUCGUAGGAGGGCAAUGACAUUAUCC
rnacentral:lncRNA from 1 species